rnacentral:lncRNA from 15 species
AUGUCCUCUAUUCUCCAUAGACCAGAUUCUGGGAAAACCAGUAUCAGCCCUGAUGCCGGUAUGUUGAGGAAGUUGGUUAGAGACCGCAACUGCCGCCCUGUGCUCCGAGGGAUUCUGGAGAGUCUCCUGCGUUACCUAACACAAGAUCUGCCCAAGUGGACCAGCAGAAACAAAAGCCCAGAGAAGCCAGGGUCAGAUUUUGUAGACUUUGAAAAGCAGACUCACAUUCAGACUGCUCAGCUCCCUAAAGAACAGAAAAUGACCCAGGGAAUAACUACUGAGACCAGACCCAAGAUCCCUAAAAAAUGCUGGUCAGAUCCACAAAACGACAGAUUGCCCAGAAGGCAUGGAGGGGAUCAAAGGGAUGAAGGCUUAAUACCCCGGCGCCUUACCACAUUCCAGCUCCUCCAAUCCAAAUUCAUAAGAUCUAACCCCAAACCUCCCAUCACCCACCAAAGGGAGGUAGGAACUCUGUCCUCCAGAGGACUGGCAGGUGAUGUGAACCACUGCCAAGACAGUGAGCAAGACAUGCACAAAAAGGUCAAGACCAGACGAGAAACAGGACCCAAGAGGGGGGGCAGUGUGAAAGAUAUUGUCAACAAAUUUGCCAUGGCUGAGCAAAAGGAAAAGGGACAGAACAUGCUGAACAAACAGCCAGUCAAACCAAGACUCAUCGGAAGAGGGCUCCUCCUAUCUACCUUGAUGGAGAGGUUUGAGACCAUGGCCGCUGUAUGUAAGGGGAGGGACUUGAAAAGUUCACAUGAAAUGCCCUCUGGAGGAGUCAAGAUGACAAGUAAUAUAAAACAGAGGGUAGCUUGUCUUGACAGAUGCCAUCAACAGGUGGAGGCUCAAGCUGUUCACAGACAAAACCAACACAAGCACAUGAAAAGUAAAUCUGUUGCACAACAGUUGAAAGGAAAUCAAACUACCGCUGGGCAAGAACAAAGACCAGAGCAGGCGGUGAACGUUUUAACAGAAAUAAACUCAAACUUGGAAGAAAAAAUCUGUUUGAAAGCAGAGGAAGAGAGGCAAAUGGGGGGCCGGGAUUCAGAUCAAACAGCUGAAGGCCAUUGUUCACUGAAGCAUACAAAAGGUCGAGCUUAUGAUAACGAUGUUCAGGGCUGGACAUCAGGUGAAAUUCAGACUACAGCAGAAGAAACCAGUAUCACGAACAAGUUAAAAUAUGGACAUCUAGAGCUAGUCUGUUUAACAUCUGUCACCGAGAGCUCGCUCCCAGAACCUUGCAGGCUUAUUCCACAGGUAGAAGCCCAAGUGAACUGGCAUGUGGCAACCAUCAUGACCUGCUCUCCAGUGUGGUCCACAUGUGUAGAUUCCUCUCCUAAACAAUAUUCAGUGGAACUAUCAGAAAGUUCACAUUGGGAAAAGAUACCUAACUUGAAGACGGAAGUUCCUCACAGAGCCCUAAAACACACUCACAGGGACUCACUCACAGGUAAACACAGUGAAGUGAGAUUCUCUUUAAAGCCCAAACCCGAGGGGCUGUCUACAUAUACAGACCGCAACCCCAUGGAGAACGGAGCAGUGGAUGAUCCGAAUCCAACCAAAGCUGUGACCAUUCAAACAAAGUUGCCCAAGUAUGUAAUCCCACGUGUUUACAGAUUGGAUUACCAACAAGAUGUUGAUGACCAGAUUGAUUCCUCCCUUCAAUCAGCACCGCACCCAGAAACUCCUUCAGUUGCAAGGCCCUCACCAUACUCUGAUACUUCUAUGACUGCUUUUAAGACAGGAUUGGUGACAAUGGGAACAUUUCAGGACAUUAACCUUUGUCCUCCUAAUAACACGAAGAUACAAACCCACCAUAUAGUAACAAAAAACAAACCACAAGAUGAAGAUGUAGAGGCAAAAGAGGAAGUAACACUAGUGGACACAACAGAUUCUAGUGCACUGCAAAGUUUCAGACUUUCUGAAGACACUGCCAACAACGUUGCAUUAGAAGACAGCAAAACCUCUUUUGUAACAUCACAUAAGAUUCAAACUGAGAGGGACAAUCCAAAACAGAGACCAAAGUACACAACAAUCAACUAUGGGGAUCCUUCAGUCAAAGAAACAUAUAAACCCAAAACCAUACGAUUUACUGAUACUUUUACUUUCUAG